AGAACGAACGCUGGCGGCAUGCCUAAUACAUGCAAGUCGAACGAACACUUCGGUGUUAGUGGCGCACGGGUGCGUAACGCGUGGGAAUCUGCCCUUGGGUUCGGAAUAACAGUUGGAAACGACUGCUAAUACCGGAUGAUAUCGAAAGAUCAAAGAUUUAUCGCCCAGGGAUGAGCCCGCGUAGGAUUAGCUAGUUGGUGAGGUAAAGGCUCACCAAGGCGACGAUCCUUAGCUGGUCUGAGAGGAUGAUCAGCCACACUGGGGACUGAGACACGGCCCAGACUCCGUACGGGAGGCAGCAGGUAGGGAAUAGUUGGACAAGUGGG
rnacentral:rRNA from 1 species